AUCACUUCUCAGCUUUUCGGCUAAGAUCAGGUGUCGUAUCUGUUCUAAUCAGUUUAAUAUCUGAUACGUCUGCUUUCCUAGCCCCUGUUUUUACGAGUGUAUUCGGUUGUUUUCGGUCCCUGGCCUGUUUUCCAUGGUGACCUGAUUUAUUUUCCUGGGGUAUGAGAUUCGGUACCCCACUAUGUAUGAGUGGACCGAUG